AAAUUGACGACCUGUAGUAAUGACCUUUUGCUGAAUACCAAUCGCCAUGAAAAAGGGUUCCUUGGUCCCCCCCCCAUGAACUGAACCGACAUCAACUAUAUUGGAUGCUGAGAAAUACUCACUACAGAUGAUCAACAGACUGGAAAUACAGAAAGCAGAUUCCCAUAAGCUAAUAAGGAUGCAAAUCAUUAUUACCUGGAAACGUUACAUCCGUUUCGAUAGACAUUUCCAGCUACUUCUCAACGUAAGUAUCUGUGAAAUCUGAGCGCUUGCCAUUCUGAGAUCAACUUCUGCAAAUGCAACAGUAGAAUAAAUGAAUCGCCUGAAAAUGGAGCCAGCAUGCGAAAGCCUUCUGAAUGUCGUCUUCACCAGGAGAAUGUUGCCUGGUUAGGAAGGAACCAUUCGAAGUGCUAAAAGAGGAUAAAUUUUUCCAGAUGUGCCCAUGUCCAUUUGUAGAGUGACUCUUCAAUAUCUGACACAUAUUCGGCAGCAAUCUGGAUGAUAUGGAAACUUUAUCCCAUCAUGAUAUAGGAGAGAUAAGGGUAUAUACAAAUUUAAGCACAUACUGUUUAAUAUAAACUUGUUUUUCUGGAUAAAGACGAGCUAACCACCCAUGAAGUAAUGAAAUUUUCGUGAUUCCACAUGUGUCCUGAAUUGACGGCAUUCUUGCUGAAUGUGGUGAAAUACUCAAUAAAAAAACCAAUUUUGGAAGCAAACCAUUAAUACUUGGAAACGUCUAUCAAAGUAGAAGCAGAAUUUCCAGUUAUUUGUCAACAUAAGAAUAAGACUUAGCAAGUGUUGCUGAUAUUCUACAGAAUCAUUGAG